AACGUAGGACACAAGCGUUAUCCGGAUUUACUGGGCGUAAAGGGCGUGUAGGCGGACGUGUAAGUCUAUUCUGAAAGCUCCUGGCUAAACCGGGAGAGGCGAAUGGAGACUGCAUAUCUAGAGUGAGGAAGAGGAAAGUGGAAUUCCGCGUGUAGUGGUGAAAUGCGUAGAGAUGCGGAGGAACACCAGUGGCGAAAGCGACUUUCUGGUCCUUAACUGACGCUGAGGCGCGAAAGCAUGGGGAGCGAACGGG
rnacentral:rRNA from 1 species